rnacentral:rRNA from 1 species
UACGGAGGAUGCAAGCGUUAUCCGGAUUUAUUGGGUUUAAAGGGUGCGUAGGUGGGAUGAUAAGUCAGAGGUGAAAGCUAGCAGCUUAACUGUUAAAUUGCCUUUGAUACUGUUAUUCUUGAGUGUAGUUGGCGUUGGCGGAAUGUGACAUGUAGCGGUGAAAUGCGUAGAUAUGUCACAGAACACCGAUCGCGAAGGCAGCUAACGAAGCUAUCACUGACACUGAUGCACGAAAGCGUGGGGAGCAAACAGGAUUAGAUACCCUGGUAGUCCACGCCGUAAACGAUGAUAACUCGACGUUGGCAAUAUACCGUUCAGCGUCCAAGCGAAAGCGUUAAGUUAUCCACCUGGGGAGUACGAUCGCAAGGUUG